rnacentral:misc_RNA from 1 species
AGGAUAUCUUAAUGUCCUUUUUGAGCAAUAUAACUGUUGUCAAUUUGGAGAAGUAAUUUGUAUCAGUUACUAAAAUAUAAAUAUGGAAAUGAUUGUAGAAAUUUUUCCUUUUUAUAUCAUUAAGUAUUGCUAAUUCAAUGCACCAUGUCAUAUGCAAUGAUCAUAAAACAAGAGUGGGGCUAGCCUCCCUAGAAGUUGUGUUCAUCUCGUUUUCAAUUUUGAAUUGUUGGACAUUUUCCCUUGACUUGUCUUUUCUAACCUGUUAAUCUCAGAGAAAGUUUGAUUCAUCAAUUAGGUACUUUGUCAUGUUUUCAUGUACUGAAAAUCAUUAUUUAAUCAUUUUACAACAUUUCCCAAUAAAAAAUGAGCUUUCUUUCUUUUAUGUAGCUGCUGUGCGUAAGGAGAUUGCG